UACGUAGGGGGCAAGCGUUAUCCGGAUUUACUGGGUGUAAAGGGAGCGUAGACGGUGAUGCAAGUCAGAAGUGAAAGCCCGGGGCUCAACCUGUGGACUGCUUUGGAAACUGUGCAGCUUGAGUGUCGGAGAGGCAAGUGGAAUUCCUAGUGUAGCGGUGAAAUGCGUAGAUAUUAGGAGGAACACCAGUGGCGAAGGCGGCUUGCUGGACGAUGACUGACGUUGAGGCUCGAAAGCGUGGGGAGCAAACAGG
rnacentral:rRNA from 1 species